GCCCCCUUCCCCCUGGGUUGAGUGCUCUGCAAGGCGAGGUCAGGCCAGUGGGUCCUCUGCCUCAGUCUGGCCGCAGCACGGAGGACAGGGGUUUAUCCUCGAGGCCAGCAGGCCCGAGGCCCCAGGCGCUUCCGGCCCGCACGCUGUCCUGAGCCGCAGACGGAGGCCUCAUUGUCCUCGUGGAUGGAGGGCAGGAAGACCCAGGCCGCACUCGGCUCGGGGCUCCCAGGGACAGCAGCUCCCAGGACAGGGCAGGGCAGGGGACAGCCCCAAGGCUCCCUGCUGCCUGGGGACCUGAUGCACCUGUAACAGCCUGUCCCUGCCUGGAGAGCCUGGUGGCUCAGGGGUGGCUCAGGGCAGCCUCCCGGCCCUGGGCCCUGGCUCAAGGGGCCACAGACUCAGUGUCCACACCCGCAGGAGACGGCUGACGCCCUGCCCUUCACGGGUCUCAGCCUGUGACACACAGCCAGAGGCUGCUCCCCGCCCUUGGGGAGCUUAGAGGUCAGCCCUGUCCCCUUCACUUAUUUAAGAAGCACUGGGCCGUGCACUGAGGCACACUUGUAAUCUCCACUACUCGGGAGGCAGAGGCAGGAAGAUCGCUUCAGCUCAGGAGUUCAAACCAGCCUGGGCAACAGUGAGAUUCCUUCUCUAAUAAAUGAGUGAAUAAAAUUAAAAACAAAAAGCACCUUUUAAAACCCUGCUGGCUGCAGCAGACAGAGAAGUCGGGCAGAUGCGCAUGUCCUCUGCAUGGGCAGCGAGGCAGCCCCCGUCUGUGGCUCUGCUGAGCCAUGCUGCUCCGGUGACGCCUGUCCCGCUGUCUCUCAGGACAAGACAUCAAGUCAGACGGCUUCAGCAUCGAGACCUGCAAGAUCAUGGUGGACAUGCUGGACUCGGACGGGAGCGGCAGGCUGGGGCUGAAGGAGUUCUACAUCCUGUGGACGAAGAUCCAGAAGUACCAGGUGGGACCCCUGGGGUCUGGUGGGGACACUGUGGCUGUUCCUCCUGGAGGGGAGGGACAUCUCCAGGGGACAGACUUCCCCGUCACGGAGCUCGAGGAAACAGCAAUGUGAAGACGGACAGACAGACCUGGGGGCCCACGCCCUGCACUCCCGGUGAAGUGGGUGCCAGGAGCCACCUCCAAGGGCUUCCUGAAAAGGGACCCUGGGUCCCUGGGCCUUCAGACUGCAACAGCUCAAGUACCAGCCCCGCUAAGGCCCUGAAUGGGCCCAUGGCAGCCGGCAGCCCUGUGACAGCCACACGUGGAAGGGACGGCCAGUGCCCGUGGCUACGUGAGCAGGGACCUGGGCGCCACGGCCAGGCCAAUGGGGCGCAGCCGGAACCAGUCUGCUUUGCUUCAGGUCAUGAUUUUCCCAACCCUCUUGUGUGUUCCAGAAAAUUUACCGGGAGAUCGACAUAGACAGGUCUGGCACCAUGAACUCCUACGAGAUGCGGAGGGCGCUGGAGGAAGCAGGGUUCAGGCUUCCUUGCGAACUGCACCAAGUCAUCGUUGCCCGGUUUGCAGACGACCGAGCUCAUCAUCGACUUUGACAACUUCGUCCGGUGCCUGGUUCGGCUGGAGACGCUGUUCAAGAUAUUCAAGCAGCUGGACCCCGAGGACACCGGGACCAUCCAGCUGGACCUCAUCUCUUGGCUGUGUUUCUCGGUGCUGUGAAGGGGUGCCCAGCACGCCUGGAGGCUACAGAGGACCCAGGGACUGAGUCUGGACACCUGGAUCGGGCUUGGCACUGUGGGACAUUACGUACACUGAGGACUGUAGCUGAGAACACUGUCUGAGAUAGCCAGACUGUCCCGCCAGGUAGAAGGUUUGCUUAUUAUACAAGUGCAAGUGAGCUGCUUAACCCCUGACAAGCCCAAAGGAAGCCUACACCUACAAACAGUACCCACUUUUCACUUUGACACGCUUUCCUGUUCGGAGCAAUGCUAAACCAGGAGGACAAGGAGGUGUUUUAAAUCAGUCUCCAGGCCAAGAGUAACGGGGAUGCUGAGUUUUAAAAUGCAGAGGUGGCGGCGUCGCCCCCCCAGCAGCCCAGGGACAGUGGCCUCAGCAAGGCAGCGAGAGCCCGGGGAGGAAAGCGCCCUCCUCAUGGGCCAGAUGAGAGCAGGGCGUGCACAGUGCUCAGGUCCUUGUACACGCUCAGCCCUGGGCCUUCACAGGGUCCCACACGUGACUGGUGAGGCUGUGGCCAAGCCAGGCUGGUUGCAAACUGAGGGCUAAGACCCUGGCCCUGCACUCCGUGUCCUCGGUGCCUUUCCGUGGUGAGGGAGGGCGUCCUGGAGGAGACGCCGCAGCUGCUUCUGGGCCUGACCUCGGGAAAGCUGCGACACUAAAACCAUUGCCUUUGCCUUACCACCUUCCUAGUGUCCUGUUGAAUAAAGUUGCCCGACAGCC
ensembl:lncRNA